GAAUGUGAGGGCGAUCUGGCUGUGACAUCUGUCACCCUAUUGAUGACCAGGGUUGAUUCAGCUGAUCUGGCUGGCUAGGUGGGUGUCCCCUUCCUCCCUCACCACUCCAUGUGUUUCCCUCCCAAAGCUGUGUGCUCAGUUGAAGAGGAUGGCCUUCUUCAAUAGAGAUGGACCCGUCUUCAGUUGAGGGCAUACGAGUAGCUGUGUACUCCUGCUAGAACCUCUGAACAAGUUCUCCCAUUCGUAUUUGCAUGUCCUUUGAACAAAUGGCCAAGACCGGUCUUGCUGGGUCAUAAGGUACUUCCAUUU
ensembl:misc_RNA 7SK 7SK RNA